rnacentral:rRNA from 1 species
GUCCACGCCCUAAACGAUGUCUACUAGUUGUUGGGGUCUUCGGACCUUAGUAACGCAGCUAACGCGUGAAGUAGACCGCCUGGGGAGUACGGUCGCAAGAUUAAAACUCAAAGGAAUUGACGGGGACCCGCACAAGCGGUGGAUGAUGUGGAUUAAUUCGAUGCAACGCGAAAAACCUUACCUACACUUGACAUGCCAAGAAGUUUCCAGAGAUGGAUUCGUGCUCGAAAGAGAGCUUGGACACAGGUGCUGCAUGGCU